rnacentral:rRNA from 1 species
GGAUGCGAUCGUACUAGUAUUAAAGCACCAGAUCGCAUCAGAACUCCGAAGUUAAGAGUGCUGGGGAGAGAGUAGUAGAAGGAUGGUGGGAUCCGAACUCCGAAGUUAAGCGUGCUUGGGAGAGAGUAGUCCAAGGAUGGUUAACCUCCUCGGAAGUCCUCAUGUUGCAUUCC